rnacentral:rRNA from 1 species
UACGUAGGGGGCGAGCGUUGUCCGGAUUUAUUGGGCGUAAAGGGCGUGUAGGCGGCCUGGUAAGUCAGGGGUGAAACCCCAGGGCUCAACCCUGGGCGUGCCUCUGAUACUGCUGGGCUUGAGUACUCUAGAGGGCAGUGGAAUUGCCGGUGUAGCAGUGAAAUGCGUAGAGAUCGGCAGGAACACCAGUGGCGAAGGCGACUGCCUGGGGAGAAACUGACGCUGAGGCGCGAAAGCUAGGGGAGCAAACAGG